UUUGUUUAUAGACGUGUGGACGGCUGGGUCACGGCAGCGGGUGCUUGCAGGAAGAGCCCUUUUAUGAAUCCAUCUUCUAUAACGUCAGGGUAAUGGGGGUCCAGAGCCAAUGGACACAAGGCACAAGGCACAAGACCCAAGGAAAACCUGAGUAGCCAGAGGAAACAGGCGAACUCCAAAAAAUGGAGCCAUCAGC